rnacentral:misc_RNA from 1 species
GGCUCCAGCAGAUCAGCCAAGUAAUUCCUCGCGUAAUUGAGUGGCUGUUCAAGGGCUUGCCUCACGGAAGUGGAGAUCAGAUUUCGCACAAUCUCUGGAUCGAAGUAAUACACCUUGAACUUCAAUUGAGGGAAAGUAGACCUCACUAGGUAUUCCAGAUUGAUCUCCGAAACCAAAAAGUGAAAAAAAACACUCUCUGGACACAAUGAAUGUUGUAAUAUGGAGUGUACAGCGGCGAUUGACCCCCG